UGGGGAAUUUUGCACAAUGGGGGAAACCCUGAUGCAGCGACGCCGCGUGAUUUAGAAGGCCUUCGGGUUGUAAAAAUCUUUUGUAUGGGAAGAAAAUUACAGUACCAUACGAAUAAGGACCGGCUAAUUACGUGCCAGCAGCCGCGGUAAUACGUAAGGUCCGAGCGUUGUCCGGAAUCAUUGGGCGUAAAGGGUACGUAGGCGGCAUGGCAAGUCCGAUGUAAAAGGCGAAGGCUCAACCUUCGUAAGCAUCGGAAACUGGCAAGCUUGAGUGAAGGAGAGGCAAGUGGAAUUCCUAGUGUAGCGGUGGAAUGCGUAGAUAUUAGGAGGAAUACCGGUGGCGAAGGCGACUUGCUGGACUUCAACUGACGCUGAGGAACGAAAGCGUGGGUAGCAAACAGG
rnacentral:rRNA from 1 species